rnacentral:rRNA from 1 species
UGGGGAAUAUUGGACAAUGGGCGCAAGCCUGAUCCAGCAAUGCCGCGUGGGUGAAGAAGGCCUUCGGGUUGUAAAGCCCUUUUGUACGGGAAGAAAUCCUGUCGGUUAAUACCCGGCGGGGAUGACGGUACCGUAAGAAUAAGCACCGGCUAACUUCGUGCCAGCAGCCGCGGUAAUACGAAGGGUGCAAGCGUUAAUCGGAAUUACUGGGCGUAAAGCGUGCGUAGGCGGUUGGUUAAGUCUGUCGUGAAAGCCCUGGGCUCAACCUGGGAAUGGCGAUGGAAACUGGCCAGCUAGAGUGUGAUAGAGGAUGGCGGAAUUCCCGGUGUAGCGGUGAAAUGCGUAGAGAUCGGGAGGAACAUCCGUGGCGAAGGCGGCCAUCUGGAUCAACACUGACGCUGAGGCACGAAAGCGUGGGGAGCAAACAGG